GAUGAACGCUGGCGGCGUGCCUAAUACAUGCAAGUCGAGCGAAUGGAUUAAGAGCUUGCUCUUAUGAAGUUAGCGGCGGACGGGUGAGUAACACGUGGGUAACCUGCCCAUAAGACUGGGAUAACUCCGGGAAACCGGGGCUAAUACCGGAUAACAUUUUGAACCGCAUGGUUCGAAAUUGAAAGGCGGCUUCGGCUGUCACUUAUGGAUGGACCCGCGUCGCAUUAGCUAGUUGGUGAGGUAACGGCUCACCAAGGCAACGAUGCGCAGCCGACCUGGGAGGGUGAUCGGCCACACUGUGACUGAGACACGGCCCAGACUCCUACGGGAGGCAGCAGUAGGGAAUCUUCCGCAAUGGACGAAAGUCUGACGGAGCAACGCCGCGUGAGUGAUGAAGGCUUUCGGGUCGUAAAACUCUGUUGUUAGGGAAGAACAAGUGCUAGUUGAAUAAGCUGACACCUUGACGGUACCUAACCAGAAAGCCACGGCUAACUACGUGCCAGCCGCCGCCGUAA
rnacentral:rRNA from 1 species